rnacentral:rRNA from 1 species
ACGCGAGGAACCUUACCAGGUCUUGACAUCCUCUGACACUCCUAGAGAUAGGACGUUCCCCUUCGGGGGACAGAGUGACAGGUGGUGCAUGGUUGUCGUCAGCUCGUGUCGUGAGAUGUUGGGUUAAGUCCCGCAACGAGCGCAACCCUUGAUCUUAGUUGCCAGCAUUUAGUUGGGCACUCUAAGGUGACUGCCGGUGACAAACCGGAGGAAGGUGGGGAUGACGUCAAAUCAUCAUGCCCCUUAUGACCUGGGCUACACACGUACUACAAUGGCCAGUACAACGGGAAGCGAAGCCGCGAGGUGGAGCGAAUCCUAAAAAGCUGGUCUCAGUUCGGAUUGCAGGCUGCAACUCGCCUGCAUGAAGUCGGAAUUGCUAGUAAUCGCGGAUCAGCAUGCCGCGGUGAAUACGUUCCCGGGUCUUGCACACACCGCCCGU